UCUGAACACGUCCAUCCCUCUCUUCCGACUUUCCUCUAGAGCACCACUUCAGAGGCUGCAAACCGAGUCAUGGCUCUCUCGCCUGCCAUGCUCAUGGCAACCUUCUUACUGGGUCUCAUAGCAUCCUCCUCCAUUGCUCAAGGCCCAAUAUCAUCGCCGCCAACAAUCCCACCGACAACUACUGCAACGCCACCUACAAGUUCUGCAACCCCGCCUUCCUCAGCAGUCACACCUUCCUCUGCUCCCACCCCAGUGUCACCUUCACCAACAUCGUCCCCUCCUUCCUUAGCAGUCACACCUUCCCCUGCUGUCACCCCAGUGUCACCUUCACCAACAUCGUCCCCUCCUUCUUCAGCUACCCCAACAGCAAGCCCACCAGCAACCGCCCCGACAACGAGUCCAGGAUCAAGCCCACCAUCGCCAACUGCACCUGGGUCACCACCAUCAGAAUUGACUGCCACUCCCCCUGCACCCAUGGCACCAACACCAUCUUCUGGCCCCGGGUCGCAAACACCAACUCCUUCAGCUGCCCAAACUCCAGGUCCCGCCUCAUCGACACCGGGUUCAGGAGCUUUUGUUCAUGGAAGCAGGG
rnacentral:misc_RNA from 1 species